rnacentral:rRNA from 1 species
AAACGACUCUCGGCAACGGAUAUCUCGGCUCUCGCAUCGAUGAAGAACGUAGCGAAAUGCGAUGCUUGGUGUGAAUUGCAGAAUCCCGUGAACCAUCGAGUCUUUGAACGCAAGUUGCGCCCCAAGCCGUCAGGCCGAGGGCACGUCUGCCUGGGUGUCACG